AUCUGGGUAGCUUAAAUUAAAAGCUUAAUAUUGAAGAUAUUAAGAUAAGUCAAUACUUUCUAGAUA
rnacentral:tRNA from 1 species